rnacentral:rRNA from 1 species
GAUGAACGCUGGCGGCGUGCCUAAUACAUGCAAGUCGAGCGAACGGACGAGAAGCUUGCUUCUCUGAUGUUAGCGGCGGACGGGUGAGUAACACGUGGAUAACCUACCUAUAAGACUGGGAUAACUUCGGGAAACCGGAGCUAAUACCGGAUAAUAUUUUGAACCGCAUGGUUCAAAAGUGAAAGACGGUCUUGCUGUCACUUAUAGAUGGAUCCGCGCUGCAUUAGCUAGUUGGUAAGGUAACGGCUUACCAAGGCAACGAUGCAUAGCCGACCUGAGAGGGGGAUCGGCCCAACUGGAACUGAGACCCCGUCCAUGCGCCUACGGGAGGCAGCAGUAGGGAAUCUUCCGCAAUGGGCGAAAGCCUGACGGAGCAACGCCGCGUGAGUGAUGAAGGUCUUCGGAUCGUAAAACUCUGUUAUUAGGGAAGAACAUAUGUGUAAGUAACUGUGCACAUCUUGACGGUACCUAAUCAGAAAGCCACGGCUAACUACGUG